AUUAGAGACUGAGUUCAUAUAAAAUCGAUCUGAAUUGGAGGCUGAAUGCUGAUGACUCAUUUCAGCUCCCAUAAACACCGACUUGAACUAUCUGAAUUGACUUCUGGUGAAGUAUUAUGAUCAGCUCAUAUAUAUAUCGACCUAACUCAUCUCAGCUCAUAUAAACAUCAAUCUGACUCAUCUUAGUUCAUAUAAAUACCAACCUGACUCAUUUCAGCUCAUAUAAA
rnacentral:lncRNA from 1 species